rnacentral:rRNA from 1 species
AACGAACGCUGGCGGCAUGCCUAACACAUGCAAGUCGAACGAAGCCUUCGGGCUUAGUGGCGCACGGGUGCGUAACGCGUGGGAAUCUGCCCUUCGGUUCGGAACAACAGUUAGAAAUGACUGCUAAUACCGGAUGAUGACGUAAGUCCAAAGAUUUAUCGCCGAAGGAUGAGCCCGCGUAGGAUUAGCUAGUUGGUAAGGUAAAAGCUUACCAAGGCGACGAUCCUUAGCUGGUCUGAGAGGAUGAUCAGCCACACUGGGACUGAGAUACGGCCCAGACUCCUACGGGAGGCAGCAGUGGGGGAAUAUUGGACAAUGGGGGGCAACCCUGAUCCAGCAAUGCCGCGUGAGUGAUGAAGGCCUUCGGGUUGUAAAGCUCUUUUGGUCGGGGACGGAUGAUGACGGUACCCGCCAGAUAAGCCCCGGCUAACUUCGUGCCAGCAGCCG